rnacentral:rRNA from 1 species
AAUUAGCUUGCUAUGAGGUGGACAGUGGCGAAAGGGAGAGUACCGCGUGGUUACAUCCCCUCGAGACCGGGACAGUGUUGGGAAACUGGCAGUAAUACCGGAUAACAUCUUCGGAUCAAAUGGUGUGAUUCCGCUCGAGGAUUGGACCGCGUACUAUUAGCUUGUUGGUGAGGUAAUGGCUCACCAAGGCUGCGAUGGUUACCGGGUGUGAGAGCAUGGCCCGGCUCACUGGGACUGAGACACUGCCCAGACAUCUACGGAUGGCUGCAGUCGAGAAUCUUCGGCAAUGGACGAAAGUCUGACCGAGCGACGCCGCGUGCGGGAUGAAGGCCCUCGGGUUGUAAACCGCUGUCAGUUAGGAGGAAAUCCCAUCGGGUUCUCUCGAUGGGUUGACCGAUUUUCAGAGGAAGGACGGGCUAAGUUCGUG